GACGAACGCUGGCGGCGUGCCUAACACAUGCAAGUCAAGGGUGUAGCAAUACACACUGGCGAACGGGUGAGUAACGCGUAGGUAACCUGCCCUUAUCCCCGACACAACUCAGAGAAAUUUGAGCUAAUAUCGGAUGAGGCAUUUCGAUGUCAAAGGAGCGAUCUGGAUAAGGAGGGGCCUGCGUCUGAUUAGCUAGUUGGUAGGGUAAAAGCCUACCAAGGCGACGAUCAGUAGCUGGUCUGAGAGGAUGAUCAGCCACACUGGAACUGAGACACGGUCCAGACUCCUACGGGAGGCAGCAGUGAGGAAUAUUGGUCAAUGGACGAAAGUCUGAACCAGCGACGCCGCGUGUGGGAUGAAGGGGCUUUGCCCUGUAAACCACUGUCGGAAGGGAAAAAAGAGUAUGAACUUCUGGGAUUGUACCUUCAAAGGAAGGAUCGGCUAACUACGUG
rnacentral:rRNA from 1 species